rnacentral:rRNA from 1 species
UACGUAGGGGGCAAGCGUUGUCCGGAUUUAUUGGGCGUAAAGAGCGUGUAGGCGGCUGGGUAGGUCCGUUGUGAAAACUCGAGCUCAACCUCGGAGACGCCGAUGGAAACCCUCCAGCUAGAGUCCGGAAGAGGAGAGUGGAAUUCCCGGUGUAGCGGUGAAAUGCGCAGAUAUCGGGAAGAACACCCGUGGCGAAGGCGGCUCUCUGGGACGGUACUGACGCUGAGACGCGAAAGCGUGGGGAGCGAACAGG